GUGCUAUUGGGAUGAACAGGUCCCUCAAAUUAAUCUACGUCCAUCCUAUUCACUUUGUCAGCUUUUUUUCUUCUUGUGUCUUGCUGAUCAUUUUUGGAUGGAAUAGGU